rnacentral:rRNA from 1 species
ACCAAGCCGACGAUCCGUAGCUGGUUUGAGAGGAUGAUCAGCCACACUGGAANUGAGACACGGUCCAGACUCCUACGGGAGGCAGCAGUGGGGAAUAUUGCACAAUGGGCGCAAGCCUGAUGCAGCCAUGCCGCGUGUGUGAAGAAGGCCUUCGGGUUGUAAAGCACUUUCAGUUGUGAGGAAAGGUUAGUAGUUAAUACCUGCUAGCUGUGACGUUAACA